UCUUGCUACCUUUUGAAGUCA
rnacentral:piRNA from 1 species